rnacentral:rRNA from 1 species
CCUACGGGAGGCAGCAGUGGGGAAUCUUGCACAAUGGGGGGAACCCUGAUGCAGCGACGCCGCGUGGGUGAAGGAGCACCUCGGUACGUAAAGCCCUAUCGGCAGGGAAGAAACUGACGGUACCUGACUAAGAAGCCCCGGCUAACUACGUGCCAGCAGCCGCGGUAAUACGUAGGGGGCAAGCGUUAUCCGGAUUCACUGGGUGUAAAGGGAGCGUAGACGGCGACGCAAGUCUGGAGUGAAAGCCCGGGGCCCAACCCCGGGACUGCACUGGAAACUGUACGGCUGGAGUGCAGGAGAGGUAAGUGGAAUUCCGAGUGUAGCGGUGAAAUGCGUAGAUAUUAGGAGGAACACCAGUGGCGAAGGCGGCUUACUGGACGGUAACUGACGUUGAGGCUCGAAAGCGUGGGGAGCAAACAGGAUUAGAUACCCGGGUAGUC